CAGUAGCCGCGGUAAUACGUAGGUAGCAAGCGUUGUCCGGAAUUAUUGGGCGUAAAGGGCUCGCAGGCGGUUUCUUAAGUCUGAUGUGAAAGCCCCCGGCUCAACCGGGGAGGGUCAUUGGAAACUGGGAAACUUGAGUGCAGAAGAGGAGAGUGGAAUUCCACGUGUAGCGGUGAAAUGCGUAGAGAUGUGGAGGAACACCAGUGGCGAAGGCGACUCUCUGGUCUGUAACUGACGCUGAGGAGCGAAAGCGUGGGGAGCGAACAGGAUUAGAUACCCCUGUAGUCCCUGUCUCUUAUAC
rnacentral:rRNA from 1 species